UACAGAGGUCUCAAGCGUUGUUCGGAUUCAUUGGGCGUAAAGCGUGCGCAGGCGGCUUUGCAAGACAGAUGUGAAAUCCCCGGGCUUAACCUGGGAACUGCAUUUGUGACUGCAUGGCUGGAGUGCGGCAGAGGGGGAUGGAAUUCCGCGUGUAGCAGUGAAAUGCGUAGAUAUCGGGAGGAAUACCAGUGGCGCAAGCGGCGCCCUGGCCGUGACCUGACACUGAGCCACGACGGCGUGGGGAGCAAACGGG
rnacentral:rRNA from 1 species